GACGAACGCUGGCGGCGUGCCUAAUACAUGCAAGUAGAACGCACAGUUUAUACCGUAGCUUGCUACACCAUAGACUGUGAGUUGCGAACGGGUGAGUAACGCGUAGGUAACCUGCCUGGUAGCGGGGGAUAACUAUUGGAAACGAUAGCUAAUACCGCAUAAUAUUAAUUAUUGCAUGAUAAUUAAUUGAAAGGUGCAAUUGCACCACUACCAGAUGGACCUGCGUUGUAUUAGCUAGUAGGUGAGGUAACGGCUCACCUAGGCGACGAUACAUAGCCGACCUGAGAGGGUGAUCGGCCAACCUGGGACGGAGACACGGCCCAUACUCCUUCGGGAGGCAGCAGGAGGGAAUCGUCAGCAAUGGACGAAAGACUGACCGAGCAACGCCGCGUGAGUGAAGAAGGUUGUCGGAUCGUAAAGCUCGGUUGUAAGAGAAGAACGGGUGUGAGAGUGGAAAGUUCACACUGUGACGGUAUCUUACCAGAAAGGGACGGCUAACUACGUG
rnacentral:rRNA from 1 species